rnacentral:rRNA from 1 species
AAUGGACGAAAGUCUGACGCAGCGACGCCGCGUGGGGGAUGAAGGUCUUCGGAUUGUAAACCCCUUUCGGGAGGGAAGAUGGAGUGGGUAACCACUUGGACGGUACCUCCAGAAGCAGCCACGGCUAACUUCGUGCCAGCAGCCGCGGUAAUACGAAGGUGGCAAGCGUUGUUCGGAUUCACUGGGCGUACAGGGAGCGUAGGCGGUUGGGUAAGCCCUCCGUGAAAUCUCCGGGCCUAACCCGGAAAGUGCAGAGGGGACUGCUCAGCUAGAGGAUGGGAGAGGAGCGCGGAAUUCCCGGUGUAGCGGUGAAAUGCGUAGAGAUCGGGAGGAAGGCCGGUGGCGAAGGCGGCGCUCUGGAACAUUUCUGACGCUGAGGCUCGAAAGCGUGGGGAGCAAA